AAAGAAUGCCAGGACCAGGUUCCACUUCGAGGCAUUGCUCAAGCUACUGCAUGUCACUGAAUGUGGCAUGCAAAACUUGCAAAUUCUGCAAGGCGGUUCAGCCCCGCAAACUGCGCCUUAGCAAACGAAUGGACAAGUUUGAUACGAAAGCAAACACCUGGGUCCAGGCACAAAAAAAGAAUAAAACUUCAUCCCACCUGAGGGAUCAAGCUGCAUUGGUGCUGGAAACAUUUCAGGCCCUUGGAGCCAGAGGCGUCUUGUUCCUAGCCCGGCCUGGAAUAAAGAAGGACUGGACCUGCGAAGUAAUGAUGCCAAGGUGCAAUGUCAGCAGCAAUGCCUCCACCUGCCUCCGAAGGAUGGAGGUGUUAUUUGAAUUUGUUGUGAAAGGUUGGAGUCAUACAGAGCCUGCAGCAGCCUCCGAAAC